UCUGAUUGGUGAUUUGCUUUAGC
rnacentral:miRNA from 1 species